UGCGGCCCACACGCAGGUUCAGACGCUCCACAAAACCAUCUUCCUCCAUCGCAUAGAUCUUGAAGAUGUUCCGCCCAGCCACCACCACCUGGAAGGCGAGAAAGGGGAGAGAGAGAGAAACUGAACAAACAGCUGUGAAGAGAGAAAAAAGGGAUAGGACAGCUGCACCUGCGUAGCAUCCCGGCAAACGCUGAUGGCAUUGGCCGGAGCGUCCAGGUGGCAGAACAUGGUUCGGCUGCUGACAGUGCUAACACAGGCCAUCUUCUCCAUCUCAGCCUGACAAAGAGAGAGAAGAAGGAAGAAUAAGAAAAGCAAUGGAAUAGAUAGGACAACCUUACAAUUCAUCUCCUGACCAAAAGGAGGAAACACAGGACAUUAUUUAUAGCUCACUGUCAGCAUCAAGUUUUUUUUUAUCCUCUUUAUACCCCCUCAGUAGGCCAUGUUUUGAGCACAGACAGCAAACCACAGGGCAUCAACUGCAUAAUUUCUGGAUGGCAGUCUUACACAAUGCAGCAAGCAAAGGUGGACAUCAUUCCUAAUGGAUUAAAGAUUGUAGAUGUUCAAAGCUGUGAGUGCCCUGAAGCUAUAUAUGGAGAUCAAGGGCUGCUAUUGGGUCAGUUACUUACAUGUCAGGUCAAAACCCACUUCUCCGAGAAACCUUGCACAGCA